UACGGAGGUUGCAAGCGUUGUUCGGAAUCAUUGGGCGUAAAGGGCGCGUAGGCGGUCCGGUAAGUCGGGUGUGAAAGCCCCGGGCUCAACCCGGGAAGUGCAUUCAAAACUGCCGGACUUGAGUACGGGAGGGGGAAGUGGAAUUCCUGGUGUAGGGGUGAAAUCCGUAGAUAUCAGGAGGAACACCGGUGGCGAAGGCGACUUCCUAGACCGAUACUGACGCUGAGGCGCGAAAGCGUGGGGAGCAAACAGG
rnacentral:rRNA from 1 species